AACGAACGCUGGCGGCAGGCCUAAAACAUGCAAGUCGAACGAACCUUCGGGUUAGUGGCGCACGGGUGAGUAACGCGUGGGAAUGUGCCUCUGGGUGCGGAACAACGUCGGGAAACUGACGCUAAUACCGCAUAAUGUCUACGGACCAAAGAUUUAUCGCCCAGAGAUCAGCCCGCGUCUGAUUAGCUAGUUGGUGAGGUAACGGCUCACCAAGGCUACGAUCAGUAGCUGGUCUGAGAGGAUGAUCAGCCACACUGGAACUGAGACACGGUCCAGACUCCUACGGGAGGCAGCAGUGAGGAAUAUUGGUCAAUGGGCGGAAGCCUGAACCAGCCAUGCCGCGUGCAGGAUGACGGCCCUACGGGUUGUAAACUGCUUUUCCCGGGCGAAUAACCCCUCGCGAGGGGAGUGCCGGUACCGGGGAAGUAAGGAUCGGCGUAACUCCGUG
rnacentral:rRNA from 1 species